rnacentral:lncRNA from 1 species
UGUUUCAGUUGGCUUGUUGCAUUCUGUGGCUCAAAUAUAAGGUGCUUUGGAGCCACUACUAAGGGUUUAUGCAGCGUUUGGGUUAAGAUUACUUGCUGCUUCCUGUGUGGGCAACUGGGCAGCAUCAAGACUGCAGAGCUCUGGAGUUUUUCUUUUCUAGUUGUUCUGUCCUCAUUGUAUGAAGACUUUGCUUUUCCCUGGAACCAAAGUGACUCUCUGACUCUGCAACAUGCCUGGAGGAUAGAGUGCUCUAAAUCCUUUCUCUGUUUUGAACUAAACUGUACAGGUAGGGAAAGAAAUUAUGUUGAAAGGCAAAAGCUAUUCGUAGAACAUUACUCAUGUAUUAACUAUGAGAGAGUGACAAAUAAUGCACUGCAUAAGCCAUCUACACUGGCAAAGCAACAAACUGAAAACAAACAGCCCUGGGAGCAGAGACUGAAACUGGCUUCUCUGACCUCUCAGGUGACUUUCCUGACUUGUAAACCAGAGAGAUGUCGUUAGCCCAAUUCAUCUUUGUUUCUCAUAGGCAAGAUGCCCCCAUCCAGUAGGAAAGAGGAAAUUUAUAAGAUGAAGAAUAGACAUAAGACAAUAAGACAUAAAAUCAUCAAUCAGGAUGUACUGAGCAGGGACAGACAAUAAAGAAAAGUCUAAGUGGGAAG